rnacentral:rRNA from 1 species
UACGUAGGUGGCGAGCGUUAUCCGGAAUUAUUGGGCGUAAAGAGUGAGCAGGCGGCCGUUUAAGUCUGAAGUCAAAUGCAGUGGCUCAACCACUGUCCGCUUUGGAAACUGGAUGGCUAGAGUAUGAGAGAAGUGUGUGGAAUUCCAUGUGUAGCGGUGAAAUGCGUAGAUAUAUGGAGGAACACCAGUGGCGAAGGCGACACACUAGAUCAAUACUGACGCUCAGUCACGAAAGCGUGGGUAGCAAAUA